CCUACGGGUGGCUGCAGUGGGGAAUUUUGGACAAUGGGCGAAAGCCUGAUCCAGCAAUGCCGCGUGAGUGAAGAAGGCCUUCGGGUUGUAAAGCUCUUUUGUUUGGGAAGAAAUCCCUAAGGAUAAUACCCUUGGGGGAUGACGGUACCAAAAGAAUAAGCACCGGCUAACUACGUGCCAGCAGCCGCGGUAAUACGUAGGGUGCAAGCGGUGCGCAGAACUACUGGGGGUGGUUUUGGAAGACGCGGGUGAAAUCCCCGAGCUCAACUUGGGAACUGCACUUGUGACUGCAAGACUAGAGUGUGUCAGAGGGAGGUAGAAUUCCACGUGUAGCAGUGAAAUGCGUAGAUAUGUGGAGGAAUACCAGUGGCGAAGGCGGCCUACUGGGAUAACACUGACGCUCAUGUACGAAAGCGUGGGGAGCAAACAGGAUUAGAUACCCGAGUAGUC
rnacentral:rRNA from 1 species